AUGACUAAAGGCGCAGAGCCCAACAAUGAAGCCAAUCCAAUCAUCUUUUUAUCCAAGGCAUUGGUGGGCAAAAAAUCAUCUCGGCUCAGUAAGGAUGUUUUACGAACAUCAAGGCCCAGCAAAUCUAUCAUCCACCACCAAACAAUUUCCAUUCCAGCGAAUCUAUCAUCCUUCCACCGCCGAUGUUCCAUCUCUUCGUCUGACGUGCACAUAUUCCGUCCUCUUCUCCACAGCGCCUCAGUCUCACUCAAUCUUAUGUCGUCUUCAUCUCUAUCAUCUUCAUCGCACUUUCUCCAUUCUUCCACCGUGAAUAAUCGUUCGCUAUCAUAG